rnacentral:ncRNA from 1 species
GAGGGAUGGCCCCUCGGGGCCGGCGAUCAGGAGUCGGUCUCAAACCGUCACAAGCUGCUGUCGUAAAGAGCGAUGGUGGUGAGCGUUGUGGGAAAGGCGGAGCGUUGAUUCCGUCAGGU